AGAAGAACUAGUUGUGGGCUUAAAUCCUAUUCUGUUAAUGGUUCUUCUCUGCCGAGAUAGAUCUUGCAGAUUGUUACAAAUGUACAGUUGGUUUAAGCUGAGAUAAUGGAUGUGUAUAAAUGAGUUCUUAUUGAGUGAAAUCAUUUUGGAAGUUAACACCAGUUGCGUUCAUGUCUUUCUCUUAUACUGAUAGUUAAACCUUUUUAGUUGCCUUUUACCAGUAAUAUAAACACGGAGAAUGCUAUGCUAAUAAUGCAGAAGUUGAGCUUGUAUGGUUUAUUUUAAAGGUUUUAAGCAAAGUUAUUACACUUUUGCGCCUCUGGCCGUUGCAAAAUUCAGAUUAGAAUCAUACUUCGAGGUGGGAGAAUACUGAAAAUGCCAUGAUCGAUUCAACUCCAUGAUCUAUCAUCGAACGAAGUAACCAACUCUAACUAUAUUAUACGCUUUAAGGAAAUGACUGAGUAAGUUAUGUUACAUCCGUUUUUUACUUGUCAAUUGUUUUUCUCUCUAACAGCUUCCUUUACUUCUGGCCUUUUGUUUCCCUCUAUAUCUAAUCUUUUGGUUUGCCUUAGCUGAAGCCAAUGUAAUCUUUAUACUAAAAGCUGUUUCCCAGUCUGUUAACUCAGUCCAAACGUGUUCCUGUCUUCUGUUUCAUGUAGAUAAUAAGACUUAUAUAAUACACUCACAUUCGCAGAUGAUCAAUAAUAUGUAUUAUCUCAGUUCCAGUA